rnacentral:misc_RNA from 1 species
AAAGUGUAGUUAUCAGUUGUCUUCACAUCCACAUGAGCUUCAAUCAAAGUUUGCCAUUUCCUCACCAAAGACCUCAACUUGUCUGUUGUAAAAUCCAUUCCCCAGAAAUUUGUCAAAACAUUCCUCCCUUGAACAUCUUCAGCUCUCAACCGGAUCUUUCUAUAAGCAUGAUCCUCAUCACCCUGAAGGUCAGCUAGAGAGAUCUCAAACACGCGAUGUUUCAGUCCUUCAGAAGCAAUCUUAGUACCCUG